CCAAGGAACGUCUCCUUCCCUUCUGCUCCCUCGAGACUUCCCUUAGAUCCCAAAUGUUACACUUACCGGCAUCCUCCUGGAGUUCUGGGGUCCUGAGGAACAAAGACCAUCCCCGUGUCACAACUGCAUGCCUGGCGCCCAGCCCAGAGCCUGGUAUGGAUUCAGGGCCUCAGUUUCCUCAUCUGGAACAUGGGAGUGAUCACGGCACCUACCUCAUCAUGCUGUUGUGAAGUUCAGUAGCUGUACUCAGAGCCACGUCUGGUACAAGGGCAUAUCCAGCCCCACCCCCUUUCUGCCCAGAAGUCAGUGCCCGCCCCGCCGCAGGUCCCAGAGCCCCGAUGGGGACCUGGAGCUUGGAAGAUAAAGGGACCGGGACAUCGUCCACCUGUGUAGAAGACUGGUCAUUUGGAGAGAGUUCGCCCAGCCCAGCGCCAGACAGGGAGCCCCAGGAGCCCUCCUGCCACCUUGCCCUCUGCGGAGACAGCCCUCCAGCCCCUCAGGCCUGGGCCCUGAGCUCUCAACAGGCCCCACAACUCGUCCUCCUGGACUUCAAGCCUCCAAGGAGGCACCUCCUUUCUGCAGCUGCAGCAGGUCAAGAGCCUCAUCCGAGGAGGAAGUGAAAGCCCUGCGUGGGUGAGUCAUCGAGGGGCCUGGCCUGGAGGGGCCUGCCGGGAGUGGCACGGGGCGGGGAGAAGAGCCUGGCAGGAAGGGGUGCCACCACGAGGAGGGAGAGCUAGGAGGCCACCGAACGUGAAGGACGUGAAAUCACCUGCAGACCCUGGUGGUCUUCAGCGGGAGAGGACGUGCAGAGAUACCAUCCACAGUCGUGUCUCUGAGGGCUGGCGUGGGGCAGAGCAGCCAGACAGCGAGGUCACAGAGGUGACCUAGGCAGUCACCUAGCAGUGAGGGUGGCCACUGGCAGGCGGGGAGGUGGGCAGGCCGUGGGCUCUGGAUCUCAACCUCCUGACUCGGGGCCCCGGUCCUGCCUCUCACUAGCUUCGUGACCGCAGGCACAUGGCUUCCUCUCUCCUUUGCCCUGCUUCCUCUUCCGUCAAGUGGUGAGGGUCCCUAACCUGGACAUGAGCCUCUGAAAGGCACCUGGAAGCGUCCCUGGUCCAAGGAAACCGCAACAAACAGCGACUACUGUACCAGGCAGGGUCUCUGCAGGAAAACCAAAACACUCGGUUUCUAAAUUAUUUUCAACAUUUACUUACUUUUGAGAGACAGAGCGUGAGCAGGGGAGGGGCAGGGAGAGAGGGAGACACAGAAUCC